rnacentral:lncRNA from 1 species
AGUAAGGGCUUUACUGGUGGGUGAUACAGCUGUCCUUCCACUGAUGGAUAACUUGCCGUGUCCCCUCCUGGUGACCACAGGGAGACCCCGGAGAUGGAUAGUUUGAAUCAAAGGAAGUCCCUCCCACGGUGUGACCAUCACCUUUCUAGGUGUUCUUUUGAUACACGAAGGGGGUCAAUCCAGGGUGGCUUGUUGUCCUCUGCACCUUAGAAAGUGAAAUUUCGUAGACCCUAAGCAGCAAGGGAUCCUCAGGCUGGCUAUCCUGAGGCCAGAUGGAGGAGAGAGCAACCUGGAGGGAACGUCUACAUAACAUCAGGUUCCCCAGCUCUGUCCCCUCUACAGUCUCUCCAGAAGAAGGGUCUGGGGGAAUCCGCCUUGCCCUGACUUCCCAUAAUAUUCAAACCAGAGUUCUUCGCAGUUCCUGGAGAGACCUACUCCCCCUACCCCAGAACAUGGGGCUCAAGGUCAGUGGUAGCCACUCUCCCCCCACCCCCCGCCCCAGGCCUUGCCCUUUAUGUAUUGAGCUUCCUGGCUGAACCAAAGCCAGUCAGGACCCUGGGCCAAGGUUAGAACUAGGAAGCACUAGGAAUUGAGGGUUGGGGUAGCCUGGGGUAGGAGGGUCCCAGAUUGUAGGAUGGAAAGGCAUGCAUUGUGUACUUACCCCAUGGCAAUGGCUGCGAGCUCUCCAACCUAUGCAGCCACUUUCUCUCUCUCUCUCUGCCCCUUGGCACAGACUCUUAAAGCUUCUGCCUGCUGCUGCUCCCAGCUGAUGCCAGCCGCCAGGCACUCUAGCUUAUCUGUGCCCAGUGCUGCACAGGCCUGUUGUUUUGGCUGAUUGAUUUAUGAUUUUCAUUUAUCGAUGGAGAGGCUUUCUCAAGAAUGCAUAGCUGCAUACUAUUGGAGCUGGGAUUUGAACUCAGGGAGACGAUUUUCUGUUACAAUGUUUAUGAUACAAUUUCUUUAAAGAUUUACCUUUGAAACAAAACCAAAACCAAAAAUUAUAUGUAUCCAUGAGUGUCUAUAUGUAUCUGAGCACAUGAGUGCAGGUCCCUGUUAGGGCCAGAAGAGGGCACUAGAUGCCCUGGAACUAGAGUGACUGGAGGUUUGAGCUGUGCUGGGAACCGAACUCAGGUCCUGUGCAAGACCAGCAAGAGCAAGUGCUCUUAACUGUGGAGCCUUCUCUGUAGCUAAAUUACAAUGGAAUCUUAGAGACUGUAUCUGAGCCACCAGAAUCAUGUCUUGGGAUGAGACUCUCCCAAGACUCACUGCUUGUCAGACCUUCUCCCGGCCUCCCACUGCCUUCAGCUUAGAAACCUGAGUGAGCAGGGAGAAGAGAGGCAGGAAGAAGGACAUGUUCGGAGUAUGAGGAGGGAGGGUAGCAACAGAAUGAGAGUAGCAAAAGCUAACGGUUAUUAAGCACCUACUGCAUACAAAGUUGUUUUAAGGGCCAAUGAGGUGGCUUAGCAGGUGAAGGUGUUUGCCGCACGAGCCUUAGGACGUGGGUUCAGUUCCCUGAAUCUCACAGUGGAAGGAGAACACGCUCCCUAAAGGUGUUCUCCAGCCGGGACUCAUAUCCUGUACCUGAGCAGGUACAAAAUACUCUUCCCUCUCUCUAAUUAAAACAACAAUAUUCC